UACGUAGGGUGCGAGCGUUGUCCGGAAUUAUUGGGCGUAAAGAGCUCGUAGGCGGCUUGUCGCGUCGGAUGUGAAAGCCCGGGGCUUAACCCCGGGUCUGCAUUCGAUACGGGCAGGCUAGAGUUCGGUAGGGGAGAUCGGAAUUCCUGGUGUAGCGGUGAAAUGCGCAGAUAUCAGGAGGAACACCGGUGGCGAAGGCGGGUCUCUGGGCCGUAACUGACGCUGAGGAGCGAAAGCGUGGGGAGCGAACAGG
rnacentral:rRNA from 1 species